rnacentral:sRNA from 1 species
CUGAAAGCGAAAUCGUAGGCAGUCCGACCCGGGA